UACGAAGGGUGCUAGCGUUGUUCGGAAUUACUGGGCGUAAAGCGCGUGUAGGUGGUCCUCCCAGCCAGGGGUGAAAUGCCGAAGCUUAACUUCGGAAUUGCCUUUGGUACUAGAGGGCUAGAGUCUGAUAGAGGAUGGUAGAAUUCCUAGUGUAGCGGUGAAAUGCGUAGAUAUUAGGAGGAAUACCGGUGGCGAAGGCGGCCAUCUGGAUCAGUACUGACGCUAAGACGCGAAAGCGUGGGGAGCAAACAGG
rnacentral:rRNA from 1 species